rnacentral:rRNA from 1 species
GACGAACGCUGGCGGCGUGCUUAACACAUGCAAGUCGAACGAUGAACCCCAGCUUGCUGGGGGGAUUAGUGGCGAACGGGUGAGUAACACGUGAGUAACCUGCCCUUGACUCUGGGAUAAGCGUUGGAAACGACGUCUAAUACCGGAUAUGACCCCUACCGGCAUCGGUUGGGGGUGGAAAGAUUUUUUGGUCAAGGAUGGACUCGCGGCCUAUCAGGUAGUUGGUGAGGUAAUGGCUCACCAAGCCGACGACGGGUAGCCGGCCUGAGAGGGUGACCGGCCACACUGGGACUGAGACACGGCCCAGACUCCUACGGGAGGCAGCAGUGGGGAAUAUUGCACAAUGGGCGAAAGCCUGAUGCAGCAACGCCGCGUGAGGGACGACGGCCUUCGGGUUGUAAACCUCUUUUAGUAGGGAAGAAGGGAGCU